rnacentral:rRNA from 1 species
UGAGACAUGCAAGUCGAACGGACGAUCAAGGGCUUGCUCUGAUCGUUAGUGGCGGACGGCUGAGUAACGCGUAGGUGACCUGCCCCGAAGUGGGGAAUAACUGCCCGAAAGGGUGGCUAAUACCGCAUGUGGUGGUGCCUUCAUUGGCACCAGUAAAGCCGCAAGGCGCUUCGGGAGGGGCCUGCGUCCGAUUAGCUCGUUGGUGGGGUAACGGCUCACCAAGGCGACGAUCGGUAGGUGGUCUGAGAGGACGAUCACCCAGACUGGGACUGAGACACGGCCCAGACUCCUACGGGAGGCAGCAGUCGGGAAUUUUGCGCAAUGGACGAAAGUCUGACGCAGCAACGCCGCGUGAGGGAUGACGGCCUUCGGGUUGUAAACCUCUUUUGUCAGGGAAGAUGAUGACGGUACCUGACGAAUAAGCCACG